rnacentral:rRNA from 1 species
UACGAACUGUGCAACCGUUAUUCGGAUUCACUGGGCUUAAAGGGUGCGUAGGCGGCCAUGUAAGUAGGGUGUGAAAUCCCCCGGCUUAACCGGGGAACUGCGCCCUAAACUGUAUGGCUGGAGUGAGAUAGGGGUGUGUGGAACUUCCGGUGGAGCGGUGAAAUGUGUUGAUAUCGGAAGGAACGCCGGUGGCGAAAGCGACACACUGGGUCUCAACUGACGCUGAGGCACGAAAGCCAGGGGAGCAAACAGG